UUAUAUAUAAAGUUUACUCCUCAGGUCACUAACCUGUUAAUUUAGUUUUGUGUUUAUCUUUUUAUUUUUUGUUUUUCCUUUAUUGAUCUUUCGAUGAAUGCAUAGAUUAUUAAUAAUUUUAAUAUGAUUUUAUAUAAUAAACGACGAAAAUUAACGGGUGAAAGAAGAACAAGAAGAAGAACAACGAUAAUGAUACAAAUGCUAGUAAUGAGAGGAGGAAACGAUGAGAAGAGUGAUAAGAGAUGCGGAGAAGAUAAUGAUAAUGUCAGAAGGAAAUUCCAUAUUGAAAAGAGGAAGUUAAAAUUUCUACUAACAAAUUGCACAUUUUUUUUGCACAAUUUAACUUAAAUCGUAAUAUUAAAUCAUCGAAGCAGUAACCCACCUCGUUAUAUUCAAUCUAGAAUUUUAUUAUUAUUAUUAAUUUAAUUUAAAUAGUCAC
rnacentral:lncRNA from 1 species